GAUGAACGCUGGCGGCGUGCCUAAUACAUGCAAGUCGAGCGAACGGACGAGAAGCUUGCUUCUCUGAUGUUAGCGGCGGACGGGGGAGUAACACGUGGAUAACCUACCUAUAAGACUGGGAUAACUUCGGGAAACCGGAGCUAAUACCGGAUGAUAUUUUGAACCGCAUGGUUCAAAAGUGAAAGACGGUCUUGCUGUCACUGAUAGAUGGAUCCGCGCUGCAUUAGCUAGUUGGUAAGGUAACGGCUUACCAAGGCAACGAUGCAUAGCCGACCUGAGAGGGUGAUCGGCCACACUGGAACUGAGACACGGUCCAGACUCCUACGGGAGGCAGCAGUAGGGAAUCUUCCGCAAUGGGCGAAAGCCUGACGGAGCAACGCCGCGUGAGUGAUGAAGGUCUUCGGAUCGUAAAACUCUGUUAUUAGGGAAGAACAUAUGUGUAAGUAACUGUGCACAUCUUGACGGUACCUAAUCAGAAAGCCACGGCUAACUACGCG
rnacentral:rRNA from 1 species